rnacentral:lncRNA from 1 species
AGUGGAGGUCCCUGCUGAGGUGGUGGCAGGAGCAGUGGAGGUGACAUCAGAGGAGGUGACACCAGUGGUGGUGACACCAGUGGAGGUGACACUGGUGGAGGUUCCGUCAGUAGUAGAGGAGACAGCAGAGGUCUCUGUUGAGGUGGUGGCAGGAGCAGUGGAGGUGACAUCGGUGGGGGUGACACUGAUGGAGGUGACAUCGGUGGUGGUGACACCAGUGGGGGUGACACCAGUGGAGGUGACACUGAUGGAGGUGCCACCAGUGGAGGUGACACUGGUGGAGGUUCCCUCAGUAGUAGAGGAGACAGCGGGGUUCUGUCCUGAGAUGGUGGCAGGAGCAGUGGAGGUGACACUGGUGGAGGUGACACCGGUGGAGGUGACAGCAGUGGAGGUGACACCACUGGGGGUUCCCUCAGUAGUAGAGGAGACAGCGGACGAUCCUCCUGAGCUGGUGGCAGGAGCAGUGGAGGUGACACUGGUGGAGGUGACACUGGUGGAGGUGACACUGGUGGAGGUGACAGCGGUGGGGGUGACACCCGUGGAGGUGACAUCUAUGGAGGUGACACUGGUGGAGGUUCCCUCAGUAGUAGAGGAGACAGCGGAGGAUCCUCCUGAGGUGGUGGCAGGAACAGUGGAGGUGACAUCGGAGGAGGUGACACCAGUGGAGGGUCCUAGCAGGGUUGUAGUAGAGGCUGUAGAGGAUGCUGCUGAGGCAGUGGGAGAUGCUGUGGGGGUGACAGCAGUGGAGGUGACAUCAGCGGAGGUGACACUGGUGGAGGUGACAGCAGUGGAGGUGACAUCGGUGGAGGGUCCUUGCAGGGUUGUGGAAGAGGCUGUAGAGGACGCUCCUGAGGCAGUGGGAGAUGAUGUGGGGGUGACACUGGUGGAGGUGACAUCUGUGGUGGUGCCACCAGUGGAGGUGACAGCAGUGGUGGUUCCCUCAGUAGAAGAGGAGACAGCAGAGGAUCCUCCUGAGGUGGUGGCAGGAGCAGUGGAGGUGACAUCAGUGGGGGUGACACUGGUGGAGGUGACAGCAGUUGGGGUUCCCUCAGUAGCAGAAGAGACAGUGGAGGUCCCUGCUGAGGUGGUGGCUGGAGCGGUGGAGGUGACAUCGGUGGAGGUGACACCAGUGGAGGUGACAUCGGUGGUGGUGACACCAGUGGGGGUGACAUUGGUGGAGGUGACAGCGCUGGAGGUGACACUGGUGGAG